rnacentral:rRNA from 1 species
CCCGCAGCACAAGUGGUGGUCAUUAUAUUGGGCCUAAAGCGUCCGUAGCUGGCCUGUUAGAUGCCUGGGUAAAUCGAUGCGCUCAACGCAUCGAACUCCGGGUAGACCGGCAGGCUCGAGACCGGGAGAGGUGUAGGGUACUCGAGGGGUAGGGGUAAAAAUCCUGUAAUCCUUCGGGGACGACCAGUGGCGAAGGCGCUACACUAGAACGGCUCUGACAGUGAGGGACGAAGCCCUGGGGCGCAAACCGGAUUAGAUACCCGGGUAGUCCAGGGUGUAAACGCUGCGGACUUGGUGUCGGUGAUCCUACGAGGGUUGCCGGUGCCGGAGAGAAGUUGUUGAGUCCGCCGCCUGGGGAGUACGGUCGCAAGACUG